UUUUCUAUCCAAUCUUAUUAAAAAAAAUUCCUUUGGUGCUGCUGCUGUGCUGCCAUUACUCUGUUUUUUGGUGCUUCUUUUUCUUUUUCCAUCCAAUCUUAUUAAAAAACAAUCCUUGGUGUUGCUGCUGCCCUUACUCUGUUUUUUGGUGCAAAAACAAAGGAGAAGAGAAGACAAAGAAUUCAAAACAUGGCUGAUGAAAGUUCUAAAAAAGAUCCAGCAUGGAAAUAUGGUCGAUUGCAAAAUGACCAAGAUAUAAAUACGUUUGUCUGUGGAUUUUGUUCGAAAGUAACAAAAGGAGGGGUGUAUCGAUUGAAACAACACCUCGUUGGUGGUUAUAGAAGUGCCACAGCUUGUAGAAAAUGUCCGGAUCAUGUGAAGGAAGAAAUUAAAGAUUACAUGUCCAAGAAAAAGGAGAUCAAAGAACAAAGAAAUUUGAUUGUGGACAUUGAUGUACAAGAUUACGGUAUCGAGGAUGAAGAUGAAGGGAGUAUUAGUGUAAAUAACAGAGCAACAUCAAGUGGCUCGAGCUUGAAGAUGUCAAGACGAAAGGGUUCAAUGGAUGCAUUUUUUACUCCCAAUCUAGAAACUGGGGUUCAAAAUAGAUAGAACGACAAAGGAAAACAAACUUCGUUGAAUGCAGCGUACAAGAAGGAAAUGAGGGAGCACCAUCCAAAGAAUUGCUCGAUGGUUUUAUGAUGCAGGAGUGCCUUUGAAUGCUUGCACAUAUGAUAGUUUUGCCCCUAUGAUUGAGUCAAUUGGGCAAUUUGGUCCUGGAUUGAAACCACCAACAUAUCAUGAGUUGAGAGUCCCAUGUUUGAAGAAGGAAUUAGAAGCAACAAAUGAGUUGAUGAGCAGCCAUAAAGCAGGCUAAGGUUGGAUGCACUGUUAUGGCUGAUGGGUGGACCGAUAGAAGAGAUAGGACAUUGAUUAACUUUUUAGUUAAUAUUCCUAAGGGCACCAUGUUUAUUGAGUCCAUCGAUGCUUCAUCUUAUGUGAAGGAUGGAAAGAAGAUGUUCGAGCUACUUGACAAUUUUGUAGAGCGCAUUGGAGAAGCAAAUGUUGUACAAGUAGUUACUGAUAGUGCCUCAGCAAAUGUGAUGGCAGGGAGAUUGUUAGAAGCAAAGCGACCACAAUUAAUAUGGUCUCCAUGUGCUGCUCAUUGCUUAGAUUUGAUGUUGGAGGAUAUAUACAAGAUCUCCAAUAUUCGCAAAGCAUUGAAAAGAGGCAUGGAGAUUAGCAACUUCAUCUAUGUUCAUCCUGGAUUAUUAAACAUGAUGCGACAAUUUACUAACCAAAAGGAGUUAGUUAGACCAGCCAAGACACGCUUUGCUACUGCUUUUCAUUACAUUAUCGAGUAUACAUCAUCAAAAGAACAACUUAAGGAAGAUGUUUACUUCAGAUGAAUGGAAGGAUAGCAAAUGGAGUAAGGAGCAACAAGGAAGGCGAGUAGUUCAGACUAUUUUGUAGGCUAGUUUUUGGACUACAAUUGUGUUUGCUCUUAAAGUAUCUGGCCCACUAGUUCGAGUUAGGUUGGUUGAUGGCGAAAAGAAGCCACCUAUGGGAUAUAUUUAUGAGGCCAUGGAUAGAGCUAAAGAAACUAUUGCUAAGUCGUUCAAUAAUAAUGAAGAAAAAUACAAGGACAUUUUCACCAUAAUUGAUAGAAGAUGGGAGCUUCAGUUGCAUCGUCCUCUGCAUGCAGCGGGGUAUUAUUAAAACCCGUCAUUCUAUUAUUCGAAUCCUAGCAUCCAAGAGGAUGAUGAAAUAGUUAACGGGCUUUACUCAUGCAUAACAAAAAUGGUUGCUUCAUUAGACGUCCAAGAUAAAAUACUUGCAGAACUAAGCAAGUAUAAGAGAGCUGAAGCAUUGUUUGGACAACCUUUAGCAAUCAGACAAAGGGACAAAAUAUCUCCAGUGGAAUGGUGGGAUAAUUUUGGACAAUCAACUCCAAACUUGCAAAAGUUUGCUAUGAGAAUUUUAGGUCUUACUUGUAGUGCUUCUGGAUGCGAACGUAACUGGAGUGUGUUUGAGCAGGUUAGUUAGCUUUCCUCUCCUUUACAUGCGAAUGUAAUUUUGUUGAUUCACUGACAGUGACAAUGAAAUUUUCUAAUUUUGUAGCUUCAUAGUAAGAAAUGAAAUAGGCUUGCUCAAAGUCGUUUGAAUGAUUUAGUGUUCAUCAAAUACAAUAGAGCAUUAAAACGUCGAUACAACCUUCGAGAUAUCGUUGAUCCCAUCUCUUUAAGAGAUAUUGAUGAUAGUAACGAAUGGUUGAUUGGAAGAUUGGAUGAUGAUUUUGAGGAGGAGGGUGAGCUGGUAUUUGACGAUGAUACUUUAACGUGGGGUGAUGUUUCAAGAGCUGUCGGAGCAAAAGAACCAACCUUCUAUUCUAGAGCUAGGGCCUCAGGAGCGACUAAUGUUUCAUGUUCAUCCUCGUCUACUACACAACCCACACCCAAACAAAUAAAUUUGGAUGACUCUGAUCAGGAAGAAGAAGAUACCGAUGGCUAUAAGUCCAACGAAGGAGUGAAUGAAGAUGAGCAUCAAUUUAGUGAUGAUGAGUUUGAUCUUUAGGAAUGAACUUUUAUUUUGAUUGUUGUUGAAUUCUGACUAGUUUUCUAUUGUGUUUUGUUUUUUGGGUAGAAAACUAAUAUUAUAAUAUUUUAUACAUUAGAGUUAA